rnacentral:rRNA from 1 species
CCUACGGGAGGCAGCAGUGAGGAAUAUUGGUCAAUGGGCGGAAGCCUGAACCAGCCAAGCAGCGUGCAGGAUGACGGCCCUACGGGUUGUAAACUGCUUUUAUACGGGAAUAACGCGCCUUACGUGUAGGGCUUUGCAUGUACCGUAUGAAUAAGGCCCGGCUAAUUCCGUGCCAGCAGCCGCGGUAAUACGGAAGGUCCGGGCGUUAUCCGGAUUUAUUGGGUGUAAAGGGAGCGUAGGCGGGAUGUAAAGCGUGAUGUGAAAUGUCCGGGCUUAACCCGGGCCUUGCAGGGUGAACUGGCGUGCUUGAGUCCGCGGAAGGCAGGCGGAAUUCGUCGUGUAGCGGUGAAAUGCUUAGAUAUGACGAAGAACCCUGAUUGCGAAGGCAGCUUGCUGGAGCGGAACUGACGCUGAUGCGCGAAAGCGCGGGUAUCGAACAGGAUUAGAUACCCUUGUAGUC